ACAUGCAAGUCGAGCGAACAGAUAAGGAGCUUGCUCCUUUGACGUUAGCGGCGGACGGGUGAGUAACACGUGGGUAACCUACCUAUAAGACUGGAAUAACUUCGGGAAACCGAAGCUAAUGCCGGAUAACAUGUAGAACCGCAUGGUUCUACAGUGAAAGAUGGCCUUGCUAUCACUUAUAGAUGGACCCGCGCCGUAUUAGCUAGUUGGUAAGGUAACGGCUUACCAAGGCAACGAUACGUAGCCGACCUGAGAGGGUGAUCGGCCACACUGGAACUGAGACACGGUCCAGACUCCUACGGGAGGCAGCAGUAGGGAAUCUUCCGCAAUGGGCGAAAGCCUGACGGAGCAACGCCGCGUGAGUGAUGAAGGUCUUCGGAUCGUAAAGCUCUGUUAUUAGGGAAGAACAAGUGCGUAAGUAACUGUGCGCACCUUGACGGUACCUAAUCAGAAAGCCACGGCUAACUACGUGCCAGCAGCCGCGGUAAUACGUAGGUGGCAAGCGUUAUCCGGAAUUAUUGGGCGUAAAGCGCGCGUAGGCGGUUUCUUAAGUCUGAUGUGAAAGCCCACGGCUCAACCGUGGAGGGUCAUUGGAAACUGGGAGACUUGAGUGCAGAAGAGGAAAGUGGAAUUCCAUGUGUAGCGGUGAAAUGCGCAGAGAUAUGGAGGAACACCAGUGGCGAAGGCGACUUUCUGGUCUGUAACUGACGCUGAUGUGCGAAAGCGUGGGGAUCAAACAGGAUUAGAUACCCUGGUAGUCCACGCCGUAAACGAUGAGUGCUAAGUGUUAGGGGGUUUCCGCCCCUUAGUGCUGCAGCUAACGCAUUAAGCA
rnacentral:rRNA from 1 species